AGGCGCUACCAUGCAGUCGAGCGAGAUCUUCGGAUCUAGCGGCGGACGGGUGAGUAACGCGUGGGAACGUACCCUCUUCUGCGGGAUAGCCACUGGAAACGGUGAGUAAUACCGCAUACGCCCUUCGGGGGAAAGAUUUAUCGGAGGAGGAUCGGCCCGCGUUGGAUUAGGUAGUUGGUGGGGUAAUGGCCUACCAAGCCUACGAUCCAUAGCUGGUUUUAGAGGAUGAUCAGCCACACUGGGACUGAGACACGGCCCAGACUCCUACGGGAGGCAGCAGUGGGGAAUCUUAGACAAUGGGCGCAAGCCUGAUCUAGCCAUGCCGCGUGAGUGACGAAGGCCUUAGGGUCGUAAAGCUCUUUCGCCUGUGAUGAUAAUGACAGUAGCAGGUAAAGAAACCCCGGCUAACUCCGUGCCAGCAGCCGCGGUAAUACGGAGGGGGUUAGCGUUGUUCGGAAUUACUGGGCGUAAAGCGCACGUAGGCGGAUUGGAAAGUAUGGGGUGAAAUCCCAGGGCUCAACCCUGGAACGGCCUCAUAAACUUCCAGUCUGGAGUUCGAGAGAGGUGAGUGGAAUUCCGAGUGUAGAGGUGAAAUUCGUAGAUAUUCGGAGGAACACCAGUGGCGAAGGCGGCUCACUGGCUCGAUACUGACGCUGAGGUGCGAAAGUGUGGGGAGCAAACAGGAUUAGAUACCCUGGUAGUCCA
rnacentral:rRNA from 1 species